GACGAACGCUGGCGGCGUGCCUAAUACAUGCAAGUCGAACGCAGUGGGGACGGGUGAGUAACACGUGGUUAACCUCCCAUCAGAGGGGAUAACACUUGGAAACAGGUGCUAAACCGAUACUGAUGGAUGGACCCGCGGUGCAUUAGCUAGUUGGGGAGGUAACGGCCCACCAAGGCCACGAUGCAUAGCCGACCUGAAAGGGUGAUCAGCCACACUGGAACUGAAACACGACCCAGACUCCUGAGGGAGGCAGAAGGAGGGAAUCUUCGACAAUGGACGAAAGUCGGACCGAGCAACGCAGCGUGAGUGAAGAAGGUUUUCGGAUCGUAAAACUCUGUGGUUAGAGAAGCGGUAUCUAACCAGAAAGCCACGGCUAACUACGUGCCAGCAGCCGCGGUAAUUC
rnacentral:rRNA from 1 species